GUCAUGGUCUGUCGUGUUUCCCUGUGUUUCCCUCCUGUGUUGAUUGCUGAUCCCUCCCCUAAUGUGUCUCAGCUGUUCCUCGUUCUGUUUGUUACUUAAGCCCUUGUCUUUCCUUUGUUCCUGGUGCUUUCAUUGUGGUUGUUAGUCCUGCGUGUUCCCUGUUCCCUCCCGAGUUCCCUGAUUCCUGUGCCUUAGCCUUUAGGCGUGAAUAAAGUGCAGUUUUCCUGAAACCGUCUGCGUCUGGGUCCUACCUGCCUGCCUGCACACGCAACUACCCUAACAGAAUGAAAGCACCAACAUUGGACCCAGCGGACGAUCAAGCUAGCCAGGGGGACUGGCCUCUUCGCCUGCUUGAGGUGGUCCGCCCUCCGCUCCUGCCUGAGGGGGCCCGCCCCCUGCUCCUUCCAGAGGGGGACCGGCCUCUGCUCCUGCCGGAGGGGGUCCGCCCUCCAGACCGUCCAGGGGAGGCACGCCCUCCGUUCCUGCCUGUGGGGGCCCUCCUCCACACCUUCCCGAGGGGGGUUCCCCUUCAAGGCCUUCCACCAGAGGGGACCCGCCCUCUUCCUGGCCUUCCACCAGAGGGGACCCGCCCUCUACCUGGCCUUCCACCAGAGGGGACCCGCCCUCUACCUGGCCUUCCACCAGUGGGGACCCGCCCUCGACCUGGCCUUCCUCCAGAGGGGACCCGCCCUCCAGCUCGCCUUCCUCCUGAGGGACUGAGCCCUCAUCGUCCUUGCCGCAGGCCUCCUGAAGGGUUCCGCCUUCCCUCUGCCUCUGCUUGCCCCCCAGGCCGUCCGCCUGAGGCUCCCUGCCAUGCCCUGGGGCAGUUUUCUGGCCGCCCGCCUGACACCCCUCCGCUCUGCCCCAGUCCAUUUUUUUUUUUUUUGAUUCCCCCCUCCUGGCGCCCCUCCACCCACCCGUUUUGGGUUUAACUUUCUUCGUUUUUUUUGCUUGUCGUGGGUCGCCUGGGAGUCGACCCUUAAGGGGGGGGUACUGUCAUGGUCUGUCGUGUUUCCCUGUGUUUCCCUCCUGUGUUGAUUGCUGAUCCCUCCCCUAAUGUGUCUCAGCUGUUCCUCGUUGUGUUUGUUACUUAAGCCCUUGUCUUUCCUUUGUUCCUGGUGCUUUCAUUGUGGUUGUUAGUCCUGCGUGUUCCCUGUUCCCUGUUGUCUCCCGAGUUCCCUGAUUCCUGUGCCUUUAGCCUUUAGGCGUGAAUAAAGUGCCGUUUUCCUGAA
ensembl:lncRNA